rnacentral:lncRNA from 1 species
UAGGGUUUUUCUGUUUUUAUUUUUUUUUGAUCAAAUGGGUUUUUCUGUUAUUAUAUUCUUGAAAAUAACCGGGUAGCUUCAGAAACAUAGGUUUAAAAAAAAAAAUCCAUACUAGUUUUGGGUAAAUCCUGUCUGGAGUACAAUACAUCCGAACAAUAAAGCAUUUUUUGUAACCCGGCCCGUACAUCCGUUGGUUUUAAAGCCUUUUGUUUUAUAUUUGAGUUAAAGAUUUAGAGUCUAGGAUUUGGGUUUAGAGUUUGGAUUUAGGGUUUAAGGUUUGGGUUUAGUGUCUAAGAUUUGUGUUUAGGAUAUAGGGUUUGGGUUUAGUGUCUAAGAUUUGUGUUUAGGAUAUAGGAUUUGGGUUUAGGGUUUAGAAUUUGAAUUUAGGGUUUAUGGUUUAGAUUUAAA